rnacentral:rRNA from 1 species
CACGUAGGGUGCGAGCGUUGUCCGGAAUUAUUGGGCGUAAAGAGCUCGUAGGCGGUGUGUCGCGUCGGCCGUGAAAACUUGCAGCUUAACUGUGGGCGUGCGGUCGAUACGGGCAUCACUGGAGUUCGGCAGGGGAGACUGGAGUUCCUGGUGUAGCGGUGAAAUGCGCAGAUAUCAGGAGGAACACCGGUGGCGAAGGCGGGUCUCUGGGCCGAUACUGACGCUGAGGAGCGAAAGCGUGGGGAGCGAACAGG